rnacentral:rRNA from 1 species
CCUACGGGAGGCAGCAGUGGGGGAUAUUGCACAAUGGGGGGAACCCUGAUGCAGCGACGCCGCGUGGGUGAAGAAGCGCCUCGGCGCGUAAAGCCCUGUCAGCAGGGAAGAAAAUGACGGUACCUGAAGAAGAAGCCCCGGCUAACUACGUGCCAGCAGCCGCGGUAAUACGUAGGGGGCAAGCGUUAUCCGGAUUUACUGGGUGUAAAGGGGGCGCAGACGGCGAUGCAAGCCAGGAGUGAAAGCCCGGGGCCCAACCCCGGCCGGCCGUUGAAACGGGCGUGCUCGAGUUGGAGAGAAGUAUGCGGAAUUCGUGGUGUAGCGGUGAAAUGCAUAGAUAUCACGAAGAACCCCGAUUGCGAAGGCAGCAUACCGGCUCCACACUGACGCUGAGGCACGAAAGCGUGGGUAUCGAACAGGAUUAGAUACCCUGGUAGUC